rnacentral:rRNA from 1 species
GUCUCAAAGAUUAAGCCAUGCAUGUCUCAGUACAAGCCGAAUUAAGGUGAAACCGCGAAAGGCUCAUUAAAUCAGUUAUGGUUCCUUAGAUCGUACCCACAUUUACUUGGAUAACUGUGGUAAUUCUAGAGCUAAUACAUGCAAACAGAGCUCCGACCGGAAACGGAAGGAGCGCUUUUAUUAGAUCAAAACCGAUCGGUGGCGUGGGGCGGUUUCCACCGUCUCCGUCAUCGUACAAUAUGGUGAAUCUGAAUAACUUCACGCUGAUCGCACGGUCUCGCACCGGCGACGCAUCUUUCAAAUGUCUGCCUUAUCAACUGUCGAUGGUAGGUUCUGCGCCUACCAUGGUCGUAACGGGUAACGGGGAAUCAGGGUUCGAUUCCGGAGAGGGAGCCUGAGAAACGGCUACCACAUCCAAGGAAGGCAGCAGGCGCGCAAAUUACCCACUCCCGGCACGGGGAGGUAGUGACGAAAAAUAACGAUACGGGACUCAUCCGAGGCCCCGUAAUCGGAAUGAGUACACUCUAAACCCUUUAACGAGGAUCAAUUGGAGGGCAAGUCUGGUGCCAGCAGCCGCGGUAAUUCCAGCUCCAAUAGCGUAUAUUAAAGUUGUUGCGGUUAAAAAGCUCGUAGUCGAAUCUGUGUCCCGCGCCGCCGGUUCAUCGUUCGCGGUGUUAACUGGCGUGCCGCGGGACGUCCUGCCGGUGGGCUUAGCCCGCGAGGGCGGCCCAACUCAAUCCCGCCGCGGUGCUCUUCAUUGAGUGUCGAGGUGGGCCGGCACGUUUACUUUGAACAAAUUAGAGUGCUUAAAGCAGGCUAAAACUUCGCCUGAAUACUGUGUGCAUGGAAUAAUGGAAUAGGACCUCGUUUCUAUUUUGUUGGUUUUCGGAACUCCGAGGUAAUGAUUAAUAGGAACGGAUGGGGGCAUUCGUAUUGCGACGUUAGAGGUGAAAUUCUUGGAUCGUCGCAAGAC